GCUGGAUUAGCUCAUCUGGAAGAGCAGUUGUUUUGUAAGCAUCAGGUGGUCCGUUCGAGUCGGACAUCCAGCA
rnacentral:tRNA from 1 species